CCAUUGGUGGUUGAGUGAUAGAGUUCUUGCCUUCCACGUGGGAGACCUGGGUUCGAUUCCUGGCCAGUGCA
rnacentral:tRNA from 1 species